CUCGGUGUUCCCAGCCCCCUUCACCCCAGAGCCCAGCUCCAGCCCCAGUUCCCUCAAACCCCUACCCCUGCAGGCCCAGCAUUAACACUCUGGAGUCCUCUGGCCCCCACCGGCGCCCCUGCCUGAGGAGCUUCUGUACUUUCAUCUCUUUCCCCCUUAAGUCCCAUCCCUCCGCCCUAGACCUCUCCCGGCAGAAGGCCCCAACUUGCCCACAAGAGGAAUCCAGAUGAGCACUGGCGCCAUGGCUGCCCAGCCCACCGCCGGCUGUGUUGUCCCCUCCUGAGCUCCGACUUGGUCCUCACCAUCUGCAGCAUCUAUCUGGACAUUGUCUUCAAGAGACACCUGUAGCUGAGGCAGCCAUUUUGGACCAUGAGAGGACCAGUCUAAGAGGCAAACCAACAUGAUGAGGAAGAGAUUGUAGCAACAGGUAUACAACCUGGUUCCUGAUGUCACAGCUGAAUCUCCGAAUUAAUCAACACUAGGACUUCUUGUUAUAUGAGAUAAUAAAAUUCCUUUUUUGUUUAAGCUACAUCUAGGUGAGCUUUCUAUAACUCACAUUGAAAGCUGCAAUUGAUAGUAAAGGAUAUAGACAUAAGCAACUCACCCAGAGGAAACCUAGUUGGCCAAUGAGUAUGAUAAGAUGCUCGACCUCAGAGGCAGGGAAUGCAGAUUCAAAUAAGAUACCACCUCACACCCAUCAGACUACAAAAAUAAAAAGUCUAGCAAGAGCAGAUGUUGACAAGGAUGUGGUCACACAGGACAUCUUGUACAAAUGCUGGUGGUGAGAGCAUAAACUGGAGCAGUCACUGUAGAGAGCAGUUUGGCAGUACUAGUCAAGAGAGUGCACCUGUCAUACAACUCCAGCUUUCUGAUGCACUCUGAAGAUGGGUUCAAACAAGUGCAAGGGUGUACUUGCAGUCCUGCUUAUAACAGCCAAACACAGAAACAAAACUGAUAAUAAAUGGUAGUUUAUUCAUGCGAUGAUAUAAUAAACAAGUUAAAGUGAAGUAGUCAAAGCCAUAUGUAUUAAUAUGGCUCCAUCAUGAAAAACUUGUCAAGUGAAAAAAAAGACACAAAAUGAUACACACGAUAUGAUGGUGAUUAUAUACAUAUCCGUAAUACAGAAAGCAUUACUAUAUGCUGCUCUGUGAAUAAAAUGUGUAGGGAAAAUAUAAAAUCAUCAUGGACUAGACUUUAAAAAGAAGGAAAUUCUGACACAUGCUG